rnacentral:rRNA from 1 species
AGUGAACGCUGGCGGUAGGCCUAACACAUGCAAGUCGAACGGCAGCACAGUAAGAGCUUGCUCUUACGGGUGGCGAGUGGCGGACGGGUGAGGAAUACAUCGGAAUCUACUUUUUCGUGGGGGAUAACGUAGGGAAACUUACGCUAAUACCGCAUACGACCUACGGGUGAAAGCAUGGGUUCUUCGGACCUUGCGCGAUUGAAUGAGCCGAUGUCGGAUUAGCUAGUUGGCGGGGUAAAGGCCCACCAAGGCGACGAUCCGUAGCUGGUCUGAGAGGAUGAUCAGCCACACUGGAACUGAGACACGGUCCAGACUCCUACGGGAGGCAGCAGUGGGGAAUAUUGGACAAUGGGAGCAAGUCUGAUCCAGCCAUACCGAGUGGGUGAAGAAGGCCUUCGGGUUGUAAAGCCCUUUUGUUGGGAAAGAAAAGCAGCAGGUUAAUACCGCGCUGUUCUGACGGUACCAAAAGAAUAAGCACCGGCUAACUUCGUG